GGGUGCAGUAUGUGUGUCUGAGGGGUGCGGUGUGUGAUGUGUGUGAGAGUGCGGUGUGUGAGAGUGCUCUGUGUGAUGUGUGUGUGUGUCUGAUGAGUGUGAGAGUGCUGUGUAUGAUGUGUGUGAAAGUGCCGUGAGUGAGAGUGCCGUGAGUGAGAGUGCCGUGAGUGAGAGUGCUGUGUGAGAGAGUGCUGUGUGAGAGUGCUAGAGUGCUGUGAGAGACUGCUGUGUGAGAGAGUGCUGUGUGUGAGAGAGUG